GCUAUCUGUUGACUUCUGGUACGAGACAAGAUCUAUGCCCGUUCCUAAUUCGCUUCUCGAUUGCAAAAGUUUCAGUAAUCACCCUCUUCCCAAUUCCUUCUCCACUGAUUGCUAUCCAAGCAUUCGCUGUUUCCCCUCGAUCGCCAUGAGUAUCUCCUUUGACAUCGGUCAAUUCCUCAACAAAAUAUGCCACGUAGCUUCGAUCCACCUCGCCAGGCCUCGAUCUGGCGUCGAAGACUUGCACAUAGACGCGGAGCUAUUGGGGGCCAAACUGAGCGACGUCGACCGGGCCAUCAAUGAGGCUGCCGGCAACGGGCAAAUCGUCAUGGAAGAAGCUCUGGUGUGGAAGCGCCUGGCUGAGGCGUUUGUAUCUAAGGAGGCUGCCAUCCAACGGGACUACAACGAGAUGCGGUGCCUCGGGGGCUGGUCGUGGAAUUGCGUCUUCAUCAAUCGGAGGGUCACCGAGAUGAAGAAGAUGCAGGAGUUGAUUAGCCGAGGGAAUGAUAUUAGGGUUGUUGCGGCUCCGCCGCCAUCUUCUUCUCCUUCGCCGCCGCCGCUGCAACUGCCCGUGAAACUUCCCAUUUCAAAUAAUGUUGUUGGGAUGGAAUCAAAUGUUAUACAGAUUGUAAACCAGAUUAUGGAUGCAAAUGCCAGGGUUAUAGGAAUCUACGGUAUGGGGGGAAUAGGAAAGACGACACUUUUAAAGCUCAUCUGCAACCACGACGAGAUCUCCAAGCUCAAGUUUGAGUAUGUCAUCUGGAUUGUGGCUUCCAAAGGAUGCAAAUUGCAGAAGCUUCAGAUGGACCUAGCUAAGAAGGUAGGACUGAAGCUUGAAGAUGAUGAGAGUGAAGACGAUCGUGCUUCUAGGCUCUUUGACUCCCUCAAGGAAAAGAAUUGCUUGUUGUUUCUUGAUGAUAUUUGGGAAUCCUAUGAUCUUUAUAAGUUGGGGAUGGAAGAAGUACCUGCUGAGCAUGACAAAGAGCGGAAGCGCAAGGUGAUAAUUUUCACGACGCGCUACGAGCACAUAUGCACUGGAAUGAAUGCUAACGUGAUAAAAAAAGUGGAAGGCUUGUCAUCUGAUCAAGCAUGGGAACUCUUUCUGAAAUAUGCACGUGAAGAUGUAAUCAACUCAGAGCCAGGAAUUAAUCAACUAGCAAUCGAAAUUGCUAAAGAGUGUGCUGGUGUGCCCCUUGCUCUCAUCACUGUUGGCAGAGCCAUGUCCGCAAAGAGGUCAUGGGAGGUUUGGAAUGAUGCUCUCACACAGCUUAGGCAAUCACAAAUGCCAGAACUCACAGGUAUGAAAGAAUCAGAUCCUAUGUUUGCUGCCUUUAAACUUAGUUAUGAUAGCCUCGAAGAUGAUAACAUGAGAGCCCGGCUGUUGUGCUGCUCUUUGUGGCCUGAAGAUUUCGAAAUUGAUAAAGUCGAACUAAUACAGUGUUGGAUAGGUCUUGGACUAAUAGCUGAGCUUGACUCGAUCAAUAAAACAUUUCAGCGAGGGCACACUCAUAUCGAGACUCUUACAUCUGCAUGCUUGUUAGAGCUUGCUGAUAAGAAAUACGCGACAAGGAUCAAGAUGCAUGACAUAAUCCGAGACAUGACUCUAUGGAUUUCUUCGGACUGUGGAUUCAAUCAACACAAGUGGAUUGUUAAAGCACAGGCUAGAUUUAGUCAGUUGGAAUUAGAGAAUGAGAAAUGGCAAGUGGUAGAGCGUGCAUCAUUCAUGCAUAAUGAUUUAAGUUCUUUGCCAAGGCAUACUCCUACUUUUCCCAAGCUUUCCAUGCUCAUGCUCCAAGGGAACUAUAAGUUGAGCUUAAUUCCCGGGCCAUUUCUCCAAGCUUUGCCUGUUUUGACGUUCUUGGAUCUCUCGAACACAAAAAUCACAGAGCUUCCAAGGGAAAUAAACAUGUUAUCUGAGCUCCAACAUUUAAACUUGAAUAUGACCCCAGUCGAAGCAUUGCCAGCAGAGUUGAGUAGCCUUGCUAAACUCAAGUACUUACUUCUAGUAAGGACUAAUCGUCUUGCGAAAGUACCCAAGGGAACAAUAUCCAACUUACCUUUACUCAAAUUGUUGGAUUUAUACGAAAGUAAGUAUGCUGACUUGGAUGAGCUAGAGGAAUUUAAAGGAUGCCGAAGAUGCAUUGGAAUUACCUUGCAAUCAGUGACAACCCUGGAUCAGUUGGUCUCUCUACAACAAUUGUCUACAUGGAAACUCCAACUAAAAAACAUCAGUGACUUAGCUUAUCCAAGCCAACUAUUUGAAAGCAUCAUGAGUAGCCACAACAUAAGGAAGAGCCUUGAACGACUAGAGAUUGUAAAUGUCCAAACAGGUGAUGAAUUAAUAGUUGCUCGGAACAACAGGGAUCGUGAAGAAGGCCUUGAAUGUUUGAGGUAUAUGGUUCUCAAAGCUGUCGAUGAUUUGCAGGAAAUCACUUGGAAAGCAGUCAAACCUCAAACGGUAUUUCCUAAUCUUCGCGAAUUGAAAAUUUCUGAAUGCAAAAUGUUGAGAAAUGUCACCUGGGUUCUUCAGCUACCACACCUCAGUGUCUUGACAGUAUCAAAUUGUGAUAAGAUUGAAGAAUUGAUAAGUUGUGUUGGGGAUUCCGUCAACUCUAGCAGUAGCCUACGGUUACUGUCUUUGGCUCAAUUGCCUAAAUUAAACUGCAUCUCACAACAGCCACUAACCUUCCCCUACUUGGAGCAGAUAUGUGUAAACUCAUGCCCAAAUCUCAGAAAGCUGCCUUUUGGCGUUGAAAUUUGUCAAAAUAAAUUGAAAGAUAUAUUUGGCCAAACGGAUUGGUGGAACAAUAUCCGGUGGGAAGAUGCCAAUGAUAAGAUUUCUCUCACACCCUAUUUCAAGUCGACUUAUAUGCAAAAAAUUGUGUUGAAAUUGAACAUGGAGGAUGCUAAAUCUAGAGCUAAAGCUCUCAAGACUGCUGUAAGAAUUCAUGGUGUUGUAUCAGUAACGCUGGAGAAUGACCUUCUGAUCAUGAAUGGUGACCAGGUUGACCUGGUGGCACUUUCUAAGACAAUGCGAAGAAAUUUUGGUUGGGUGGAGCUCAUCAGUAUUUCCGAGAUGGUGGAUUAAUCAUUGCUCAGAGUAAGCCUUGAAUCGGAGGCGCUGGGACGAACGAAUUAUCUUUUGUCAUAUGAAGAAGACAUUGAAUAUUUGAGGAAAAGAAGAAGAAUGGAAGAAGGAAAAGCAAGUGUUUACUGAGGCAGAAGAGGAUGAUGAUUUAUAUUUAUAUUUUUUUUAUAUUGUUUGAUAUGAAACUUAUUGAACUAUGACAUCUGUAUAUUUAUGGAUAUGAUGAGUUUGUAAGCAUAUGUGAUGAGUUUGUAAGCAUAUGACUUGUAUGAUUAUAUUUGUUUUGAUUUGUUUUUUAGGAUUUCAUUUUGGAUAUUUGGACUUGUAUGAAUGACUUGUUUAGAUGAAUUGUGUAUAUACGAUGUGUUGGAUUGCUUAA